rnacentral:rRNA from 1 species
UACGGAGGAUGCAAGCGUUAUCCGGAAUGAUUGGGCGUAAAAGCGUCUGUAGGUGGUUUUUAAAGUCUUCUGUCAAAGAUCAGGGCUUAACCCUGGGUCGGCAGAAGAAACUUAAAAGCUGGAGUCUGGUAGGGGCAGAGGGAAUUCCCGGUGUAGCGGUGAAAUGCGUAGAGAUCGGGAAGAACACCAAUGGCGAAGGCACUCUGCUGGGCCACGCUGACACUGAGAGACGAAAAGCUAGGGGGAGCAAAACGGGG